UACGUAGGGGGCAAGCGUUGUCCGGAUUUAUUGGGCGUAAAGAGCGUGUAGGCGGCCAUACAGGUCAGCUGUGAAAACUCGAGGCUCAAACCUCGAGACGUCGGUUGAAACCGUAUGGCUAGAGUCCGGAAGAGGAGAGUGGAAUUCCCGGUGUAGCGGUGAAAUGACGCAGACUAUCAGGAGGAACAACCAAUGGCGAAGGCAGCUCGCUGGGACGGUACUGACGCUGAGACGCGAAAGCGUGGGGAGCAAACAGGAUUAGAACCUCCGAGU
rnacentral:rRNA from 1 species